UCACCAUGCACACAUCCUGUUUUCUCCUGCUCUGCCACUGUGAUCUCCAGAUGAUCAAUUUCAUAUUAUCAGGAAAAUGACCUUUGGCACAGAAAGCCCAGAGGAGAAGGUAAAGCAAACUGCAAUCAGGAAGCCCUCAUUACAGACAGUGAGGUCAUGACAAGAAAAGUUCAUUCACACUGGAGAGUUCAACCCCAUUGGAAAUGUCUUUCCAAACACAGCUGGUGACUUUGCAAACCCAGACAUUCCCAGAAACUCAGUGGUUCUAGAAACUUGCUUGGAAUAAUUAAGGUUUUAGAGCAGCUGUUGGAAUUUUUAGAAAGGAAAAAAAGAAAAAACGAAGUGAGGCUCCCCCUCCCCGACUCCUCUUACACAUCCCUGUGGCUCUGUGGUGUCACGGCUGAGCGUGCUGCGCUCCACUGACCGUGUGGAUGAAGGGCAGGCAGCACCUGGGUGCAUUUGUGCCAGCGCAUGGCAGUGAGGCCGCUGGCAGUGCAUUUCCUGUUAUCCGUGACCCCGUGCGCCCGGGGCUGGGUCUGCAGAGGCUUUGGGGAACACACUGUUGCUGUCUCCUGUGCCUGGCCCGGUGUCCAUGUGGCUCACAGGACCCAUAGGGACCAGGUGCUGCUCUAAACUGGAGGCAUGAACUGACCAUUGGCCCAGACAGCCUUGCCAUUCCCGUCCGGGGGAUUAAACCUUGAACAGGUUUUGUAGGACUCUCAGCCCCAACUUCCUUGUCUCUAGAAAACUUGCCACUAUGAAUUAUUUCUCCGUCCCUUUGAGACAUCGGCCCUUUCCUGGCCUCUUGCUCAGUUCACUGCCCAGCUUUGUCUUCUCGAAGGACCCAGGAGCCUUUGAAAUGUAACCAACAAGGAAGAUAACACCCUCAGCUCCCAGUCCCUGCGGGAGGCAGGGGCCUAACUGUGGUAAGCGCUAAUCUGCAAACAUUGCUGGCCUGACUGCACCAACCGGCCUCCAUCCGAUGUCCUCCAGGACUCUCCCACCAGCUCACCCCAGUGCUUAAAAACCCUCCCGCCUUUCGUUUCAGCAGGGUGGAGUUCAGCUCGCUCUCUCCUACUGCAAUAGUCUGGGAUACGUCUUCCCUGCCUGUCUCACUCUCCCUGGGGUAACUUUUCUUUGACACCACUGAGUCCUCCCAGCAACCUGCAGCUGAGCACACAACCCCCCUCUGCACAGGGGAACCGAGUCCACAGUCCUAACUACCAAAUGACAUGGCCUCACUAAAGUAACUCCUAGAAGCCGAGACCUUUGUCCGACAGCUCUCAGGAGAGGCUGCCGAGGAGAACCGGCUUCCCACGUGCCCUGACCACGCCCACACCCACGGCGUGAGAUUUCACCACUCAGCCGCUGAGAAGCAGGGGGUCUUUGGCCCAAAACAAACAUCCUCUGAGACGGGAAGGAGGCAUGUCCCCCAAGAACUGCCUGGGUACUACAAUGAAGCAGGGUAAAUAUUCAGAAGUGUGUUUGGGUUUUUAAUGAUAUAAAGUAUCAUUAACAUUCACUUCAACGCACAGAGGAGAAGUAACUGUUACAGUGUUUGUUUUCACAUCUGUCAGACAGACAUGAGAACUGCCCUGCCCCUCAAGGAACCAGCUGCGGUCUCCCUGGCUGGCUGGGAGCACUGGGCUCCGAUCCUGCUCCUGAGUGUCUGCCUGGCAGCUGCACCCUCAUCUGACAUGCAAGGCGGGGUCAGACAAGAUAAUCUGAAUAUUCCUUCAUCCCCCAACUUGUGAUUUUGUUUCUAUGAUUUAUACCCAGCCCAAAGAUGCUAUUUCACAAAAUGGGUUUUGUGGCUUGUCUAGACAGGAAUACAAGGCCUCAGGCAGCCACGGAAUCACAAUUAGCGAUCCAUUCACACUAGCACCGAAUAUUCCCACGGAAAGGCCGUGCAGUGAUUAUCUCUAAGGACAAGGACUGUGUGUGAAGAAGGACAAGGAGAGAGGAGCUCCCGCGACUGCCAGGUCCAAAUGGAAUUUUACAUCGGAAAUGACAGCUACUUACUAAAGUCUUGUAGCUUAGUUUACUAACCUGGAUGCAUUAAAUACACACAUCAUUUGAAAAAUAGCAUCUCAAAAAAUGAUUUUCUCAUAGCCGUUUCUUGGAAACAAAUUUAAACAAAGAUGCAAUGAUUUAAAAAACCGCUACACGAAAAUUCUGAAGGGGGACACCUGAGGAAGGCGGGGAGUGUUUUUUUUUUUUUUUUUUUUGA
rnacentral:lncRNA from 10 species